rnacentral:rRNA from 1 species
UCGAGAAUCUUCGGCAAUGGGCGCAAGCCUGACCGAGCGACGCCGCGUGGAGGAUGAAGGCCUUCGGGUUGUAAACUCCUGUCGAGGGGGAAAAAGGGCCGCGAAAGGCCUUGAUUGAUCCCUGGAGGAAGCACGGGCUAAGUUCGUGCCAGCAGCCGCGGUAAGACGAACCGUGCGAACGUUAUUCGGAAUCAUUGGGCUUAAAGCGCGUGUAGGCGGAUUCGUGCGUCUGUCGCUGAAAUCCCCCGGCUCAACCGGGGAACGGGCGCGGAUACGACGAGUCUGGAGGGGCAUAGGGGGACCUGGAACUUCCGGUGGAGCGGUGAAAUGCGUUGAGAUCGGAAGGAACGCCCGUGGCGAAAGCGAGGUCCUGGAUGCCUACUGACGCUGAGACGCGAAAGCCAGGGGAGCGAACGGGAUUAGAUACCCCCGUAGUCC